UAUCUGUUUGAUCUUGAUUUGUAUUUUCAGAAUUAUCAGAUGCAGUAUUAUGCUGUCUAUAUUCUGCAUAUGGAUCUUCUGGGUAACCGUUUACAUCGGGCAGAUGAAUCCUAUCAUGGGUCCGCGCAUGCACAACACUACUGUGGCUUGGAUUGCUCAUGCAAAGGGAAAUCCACUAAAAGCUUCUGCCUUGAAGGAAGAGAUUCCGGA